rnacentral:rRNA from 1 species
UACGUAGGGAGCGAGCGUUGUCCGGAUUUAUUGGGCGUAAAGAGCUCGUAGGCGGCUUGGUAAGUCGGAUGUGAAAGCUCCAGGCUCAACCUGGAGUCGCCAUCCGAUACUGCCAUAGCUAGAGUCCGGUAGGGGCCCACGGAACUCCUGGUGUAGCGGUGAAAUGCGCAGAUAUCAGGAAGAACACCGGUGGCGAAGGCGGUGGGCUGGGCCGGUACUGACGCUGAGGAGCGAAAGCGUGGGGAGCGAACAGGAUUAGAUACCCUCGUAGUCC